CAGCAGCCGCCGCGGUAAUACGUAGGUGGCAAGCGUUGUCCGGAAUUAUUGGGCGUAAAGGGCUCGCAGGCGGUUUCUUAAGUCUGAUGUGAAAGCCCCCGGCUCAACCGGGGAGGGUCAUUGGAAACUGGGAAACUUGAGUGCAGAAGAGGAGAGUGGAAUUCCAUGUGUAGCGGUGAAAUGCGUAGAUAUAUGGAGGAACACCAGUGGCGAAGGCGACUCUCUGGUCUGUAACUGACGCUGAGGCUCGAAAGCGUGGGGAGCAAACAGGAUUAGAUACCCCCGUAGUCCCUGUCUCUUAUAC
rnacentral:rRNA from 1 species